rnacentral:rRNA from 1 species
AUUGAACGCUGGCGGCAGGCCUAACACAUGCAAGUCGAACGGUAGCACAGAGGAGCCUGCUCCUUGGGUGACGAGUGGCGGACGGGUGAGUAAUGUCUGGGAAACUGCCCGAUGGAGGGGGAUAACUACUGGAAACGGUAGCUAAUACCGCAUAACGUCGCAAGACCAAAGAGGGGGACCUUCGGGCCUCUUGCCAUCGGAUGUGCCCAGAUGGGAUUAGCUAGUAGGUGGGGUAACGGCUCACCUAGGCGACGAUCCCUAGCUGGUCUGAGAGGAUGACCAGCCACACUGGAACUGAGACACGGUCCAGACUCCUACGGGAGGCAGCAGUGGGGAAUAUUGCACAAUGGGCGCAAGCCUGAUGCAGCCAUGCCGCGUGUAUGAAAGAAGGCCUUCGGGUUGUAAAGUACUUUCAGCGAGGAGGAAGGCGUUGUGGUUAAUAACCGCAGCGAUUGACGUUACUCGCAGAAGAAGCACCGGCUAACUCCGUGCCAGCAGCCGC